GGAAGGAUCAUUAACACUAAUCCAAUCAACUCAACCUAGCCUUCAGUUGCAGCCGCAGUACAGCUAGCGUAAGCUUGGCAGUGCCGCAGCUGCAGCAACUAACAAACUUAUUCAUACAAAGGAGCCUAACUAAGCUCAACAACCAAAACCAAAUUCUCAACGAUGGAUAUCUUGGUUCCCAUAACGAUGAAGAACGCAGCGAAGUGCGAUAAGCAAUGCGAAUUGCAGAACCGUGAGUCAUCAGAUUUUUGAACGCAACUGGCGCUGGCUGGGUCUCCAGCCAGCAUGCUUGUUUCAGUGUCUUGUUUUCUCCUCACCCAAAACUUAAUGCGAGAGAUACCCUUCUCUUGUCAAGCAUGAAAGCACUCUGCGCUCUGCGAGCGGCUUCUGACUAGCUCAGGUGUCGCACUCAAUGCAGCCGUCACAUUUCUUUUAAUGUGAACUCAUUGAGAGCAGAGGCUGUCAGCUCACGCUGUCAGUGCUUAGCCACUUAAACUUUCUUUGCAUCUGAAAUCAAGCAGGAUCACCCGCUGAACUUAAGCAUAUCACUAAGCGGAGGAAAAGAAAUUAACUAAGAUUGCCUCAGUAACGGCGAGUGAAGCGGCAAGAGCCCAAAAUGUAAAUCUUCACGCUGCGCGUGACGAAUUGUAAUCUAAAGAUGGUUCGCUCAACGGGUGGUGGCGCAGAAGUGCCUUAGAACGGGCCGCCAGAGAGGGUGACAGCCCCGUAUGUGGUGCCACUGCCUAACGAGCGGGUUAUCAAAGAGUCGGGUUGUUUUGUAUUGCAGCCCUAAGUGGGAGAUAAACUUCUUCUAAGGCUAAAUAUAUAUGGGAAACCGAUAGCGAACAAGUACUGUGAAGGAAAGAUGAAAAGAACUUUGAAAAGAGAGUCAAAAGACUUGAAAUCGUUGAGAAGGAAGCGGUAGGAAUUUAUUCUUCGGCGGAGGACGGUGGCGUCUGCCCAACCAUUGAUGGUCUUCAGUACUGUAUAAGGCUGUGGCUGUCACUUGGGGAAGCGGGCGUUUUGCCCUCCGUCGUGAGGCAAGAUGGGAUCGUGUUCCCGCAGAGGCUUCUCCAACCUGGCCUGAUUCGUUGGGCAGUUGGAGUGUGCUGGCGGGCAUGCGGUCUGAGGAAGCUUCGUGCGAUCUUGCCAAAAUGGUUCUUACCGACCCGUCUUGAAACACGGACCAAGGAGUCUAACAUAUAUGCGAGUGUGCUGGUGGAAAAACCAACACGCGUAAUGAAAGUGAGUGAUGCCAAGCGCAAGCGGCAGCAUCAACCGACCAUGAUCCUCUGGAGAAAGGUUUGAGUAAGAGCAUAUCUGUUAGGACCCGAAAGAUGGUGAACUAUGCCUGAGUAGGGUGAAGCCAGGGGAAACUCUGGUGGAGGCUCGUAGCGGUACUGACGUGCAAAUCGUUCGUCAAACUUGGGUAUAGGGGCGAAAGACUAAUCGAACCAUCUAGUAGCUGGUUCCCUC
rnacentral:misc_RNA from 1 species